GAUUUGGUGACCAGAGAAUUGGAG
rnacentral:miRNA from 1 species